rnacentral:rRNA from 1 species
AGCUCCAAUAGCGUAUAUUAAUGUUGUUGCAGUUAAAAAGCUCGUAGUUGGAUUUGUGGUGUGUCCUGUCGGUCCAUGGGCUCAGCCUGUGUGUCUGUACGGGUCUGCCUUUCAUGGGAUUGUUGGCUUUGUGGCAUUAGGUUGUCGCAUUGUCGAUGCCCAUCUUUUACUGUGAAAAAAUUAGAGUGUUCAAAGCAGGCUUAUGCCGUUGAAUAUAUUAGCAUGGAAUAAUGAUAUAGGACCUUGGUACUAUUUUGUUGGUUUGCGCACUGAGGUAAUGAUUAAUAGGGACAGUUGGGGGUAUUCGUAUUCCAUUGUCAGAGGUGAAAUUCUUGGAUUUUUGGAAGACGAACUACUGCGAAAGCAUUUACCAAGGAUGUUUUCA